rnacentral:pre_miRNA from 1 species
CACAUACUCCCUCCAUUCGGAAUUACUUGUCUCGGAAAUGGAUGUAUCUAGACGUAUUUCUAGAUACAUCCAUUUCCGAGACAAGUAAUUCCGAACGAAGGGAGUACAUC